rnacentral:rRNA from 1 species
CAGAUUGAACGCUGGCGGCAUGCCUUACACAUGCAAGUCGAACGGUAACAGGUCUUCGGAUGCUGACGAGUGGCGAACGGGUGAGUAAUACAUCGGAACGUGCCUAGUAGUGGGGGAUAACUACUCGAAAGAGUGGCUAAUACCGCAUGAGAUCUACGGAUGAAAGCAGGGGAUCGCAAGACCUUGUGCUACUAGAGCGGCCGAUGGCAGAUUAGGUAGUUGGUGGGAUAAAAGCUUACCAAGCCGACGAUCUGUAGCUGGUCUGAGAGGACGAUCAGCCACACUGGGACUGAGACACGGCCCAGAC